ensembl:lincRNA
GGCGAGGGUCGCAAUGGAAGGGUCUGUACGUGUUCAGUACGAGUGUCAUUUUUUAAGCAUUUUCAAGCCCUAGUUACUUUGAAUUCUGGAAUCAGACUCCUCAGAUAGGACAGGCUAUCAGCACCACGGCAAGACAAGCCGAAGGCCAGGGGAAAUUCCGGCCAUGAAGUAGUAAAAUGACUAGUGUGUCAGUAUUCUGUAAGGAGACCAAUCACAGAACCCCAAACUAACUGAGAAAUGAAAACCAGCCUAUUGGCAAACUGCCUCCAAUGAGAAGUCCACCGGAAAAUGUCCAUUCGUUCUAUACAGAGGCACUCAUUUGUUUGAAAACUGAACAUGCUCCUUAGGAAUAAAGAGGCACAAUCUACGAUACCUGGGUUGUCUGAGAAAAAUCUCAAAGGCAUGAUGUUGAGCAGAAGAACCCAGUCUCGAAAAGCUAAAUGAUGCACAGUUCCACUUCCGUGAUCUUCUUGAAAAUACAAAAUCAUGAAACUCAAAAGCUACAGUGAUGGGAAGGUAAGCAGUGGUUUCCAGGACAUGGGUAGUAAGAACAGAGGUGGACUGACUCUGGAGGGAUUGUGUGAAGUGGGGGCAGCUGAGGGAAUUGGGAUCUGUGGCUUACUUCAUUUUUACAGUACAAGGAUUAAAACUGGCAAUGCUAUAAAGCCCAGAGGUUUUUUUCUGUUCAUCUUUCAAAUUAUAUUUAAAGGCUUGUGUAUGUGAAAGAUGAUAGA